rnacentral:rRNA from 1 species
AAGGUAGCGAAAUUCCUUGUCGGGUAAGUUCCGACCUGCACGAAUGGCGUAACGAUCUCCACACUGUCUCGGCCAGAGACUCGGUGAAAUUGCAGUCGCGGUGAAAAUUCCGUGUACCCGCAGAAAGACGGAAAGACCCUGUGCACCUUUACUAUAGCUUGACAUUGGAUUUUGGGCCUGCAUGUGUAGGAUAGGUGGGAGGCUGUGAACCCUGUACGCCAGUAUGGGGGGAGCCAUCCUUGAAAUACCACCCUUGCAUGUUUAAGAUCCUAACUUCUUCCGGUUAUCCCGGAGAAAGACAGUGUCUGGCGGGUAGUUUGACUGGGGCGGUCGCCUCCUAAAGUGUAACGGAGGCAUGCAAAGGUUCCCUCAGCCUGAUCGGAAACCAGGCGCUGAGUGCAAACGCAUAAGGGAGCUUGACUGUAAGAGAGACAUCUCGAACAGGAACGAAAGUUGGCGUUAGUGAUCCGGUGGUUCCGUAUGGAAGGGCCAUCGCUCAUUGGAUAAAAGGUACGCCGGGGAUAACAGGCUGAUCGCAUCCAAGAGUUCACAUCGACGAUGCGGUUUGGCACCUCGAUGUCGGCUCAUCACAUCCUGGGGCUGAAGCAGGUCCCAAGGGUACGGCUGUUCGCCGUUUAAAGUGGUACGCGAGCUGGGUUUAAAACGUCGUGAGACAGUUUGGUCCCUAUCUUCUGUGGGCGAAGGAGAAUUGAGAGGGCCUGUCCCUAGUACGAGAGGACCGGGAUGGACGCACCCCUGGUGAUCCUGUUGUCGCGCCAGCGGCAUAGCAGGGUAGCUAUGUGCGGAAGGGAUAACCGCUGAAAGCAUCUAAGCGGGAAGCCUGCCUCAAGAUAAGUUCUCCCCUCGAAAGAGCUGAAGGGCCCGGGUAGACUACCCGGUCGAUAGGCUGGAGGUGUAAGCGCGGCGACGUGCUCAGCUGACCAGUACUAAUAGCCCGUGCGGCUUGUUUGA